rnacentral:rRNA from 1 species
UACGGAGGGUGCAAGCGUUGUUCGGAAUUAUUGGGCGUAAAGGGCGCGUAGGCGGUUGUGAAAGUCAGAUGUGAAAUACUUCGGCUCAACUGAAGAACUGCAUCUGAAACUUCAUAACUCGAGUACUGAAGAGGGAAAUGGAAUUCCUGGUGUAGAGGUGAAAUUCGUAGAUAUCAGGAGGAACACCAGUGGCGAAGGCGAUUUCCUGGUCAGAUACUGACGCUGAGGCGCGAAAGUGUGGGGAGCAAACAGGAUUAGAUACCCUGGUAGUCCACACUGUAAACGGUGAACACUAGGUGUGGGAGGUGUAAUACCUUCCGUGCCGUAGCUAACGCGUUAAGUGUUCCGCCUGGGAAGUACGGCCGCAAGGUUGAA